rnacentral:rRNA from 1 species
UACAGAGGGUGCAAACGUUGCUCGGAAUCAUUGGGCGUAAAGCGCACGUAGGCGGUCCAGUAAGUCGGGUGUGAAAGCCCAGGGCUUAACCCUGGAAGUGCAUUCGAAACUACUGGACUUGAAUACCGGAGAGGGUGGCGGAAUUCCCGGUGUAGAGGUGAAAUUCGUAGAUAUCGGGAGGAACACCAGUGGCGAAGGCGGCCACCUGGACGGAUAUUGACGCUGAGGUGCGAAAGCGUGGGGAGCAAACAGG